rnacentral:rRNA from 1 species
GCACAAGCGGUGGAGCGUGUGGUUUAAUUCGAUGAUACGCGAGGAACCUUACCUGGGCUCAAAUGUAUGUUGACGUAUUCUGAAAGGGAUACUUCUUCGGACAAUAUACAAGGUGCUGCAUGGUUGUCGUCAGCUCGUGCCGUGAGGUGUCGGGUUAAGUCCCAUAACGAGCGCAACCCCUAUCAUUAGUUGCCAUCAGGUCAAGCUGGGGACUCUAAUGAAACUGCCUACGCAAGUAGUGAGGAAGGUGGGGAUGACGUCAAAUCAGCACGGCCCUUACGUCCAGGGCGACACACGUGCUACAAUGGCCGGCACAGCGGGAAGCGAGGCAGUGAUGCCGAGCGGAUCCCUUAAAGCCGGUCUCAGUUCGGAUUGAAGUCUGCAACUCGACUUCAUGAAGCUGGAAUCGCUAGUAAUCGCAGAUCAGCCAAGCUGCGGUGAAUACGUUCCCGGGCCUU